rnacentral:misc_RNA from 1 species
GGAUAUGGAUUUUGUGAAUUGGAGAUGGAAACCAGAUGAAUGUGAGCUUCCAAGGUUCGAUUCAAUGGCGUUUCUUCAUCUUCUUCGUGGGAAGAAACUCGCAUUUAUCGGUGAUUCUGUUGCCAGAAAUCACAUGGAAUCUCUUCUCUGUAUCUUAUCGCAGGUAGAAACUCCAGAAGAUGUGUACAAAGACUCAGAAGAUAGGUUUAGAAGAUGGUAUUUUCCAAAAAGUGAGGUAACC